ACUACGGGAGGCAGCAGUCGAGAAUAAUGCACAAUGGGGGAAACCCUGAUGGGGCGACGCCGCGUGGGGGAAUGAAGGUCUGCGGAUUGUAAACCCCUGUCAUGUGGGAGCAAAUGAAAAAGAUAGUACCACAAGAGGAAGAGACGGCUAACUCUGUGCCAGCAGCCGCGGUAAGACAGAGGUCUCAAGCGUUGUUCGGAAUCGCUGGGCGGAAAGGGUGCGUAGGAUGUUUCGUAAGGCGGGGGGGAAAGGCGCGGGCUCAACCCGCGGAGCGCACAGGAUACUGCGGGACUAGAGUAAUGGAGGGGGAACCGGAAUGCUCGGUGGAGCAGUGAAAUGCGUAGAUAGCGAGAGGAACACUCGUGGCGAAGGCGGGUUCCUGGACAUUAACUGACGCUGAGGCACGAAGGCCAGGGGAGCGAAAGGGAUUAGAUACCCCUGUAGUC
rnacentral:rRNA from 1 species